rnacentral:rRNA from 1 species
GACGAACGCUGGCGGCGUGCUUAACACAUGCAAGUCGAACGGAAAGGCCCUGCUUUUGUUGGUUGCUCGAGUGGCGAACGGGUGAGUAACACGUGAGUAACCUGCCCUUGACUUUGGGAUAACUUCAGGAAACUGGGGCUAAUACCGGAUAGGAGCUCCUGCUGCAUGGUGGGGGUUGGAAAGUUUCGGCGGUUGGGGAUGGACUCGCGGCUUAUCAGCUUGUUGGUGGGGUAGUGGCUUACCAAGGCUUUGACGGGUAGCCGGCCUGAGAGGGUGACCGGCCACAUUGGGACUGAGAUACGGCCCAGACUCAUACGGGAGGCAGCAGUGGGGAAUAUUGCACAAUGGGCGGAAGCCUGAUGCAGCAACGCCGCGUGCGGGAUGACGGCCUUCGGGUUGUAAACCGCUUUCGCCUGUGACGAAGCGUGAGUGACGGUAAUGGGUAAAGAAGCACCGGCUAACUACGUG